rnacentral:rRNA from 1 species
GGGGGGGGGGGGGGGGGGGGGGGGCGCGGGCGAGGCGGGCGGCGGCGCGGGCUGCGGCCUGGCGGCGAGUGGCGAACGGGGGAGUAAUGCAUCGGAACGUGCCCAGUAGUGGGGGAUAGCCCGGCGAAAGCCGGAUUAAUACCGCAUACGACCUGAGGGUGAAAGCGGGGGACCGAAAGGCCUCGCGCUAUUGGAGCGGCCGAUGUCGGAUUAGCUAGUUGGUGGGGUAAAGGCUUACCAAGGCGACGAUCCGUAGCUGGUCUGAGAGGACGACCAGCCACACUGGGACUGAGACACGGCCCAGACUCCUACGGGAGGCAGCAGUGGGGAAUUUUGGACAAUGGGGGCAACCCUGAUCCAGCCAUGCCGCGUGCGGGAAGAAGGCCUUCGGGUUGUAAACCGCUUUUGUUCGGGAAGAAAUCCUCUGGGCUAAUACCCCGGGGGGAUGACGGUACCGGAAGAAUAAGCACCGGCUAACUACGUG